GCCUACGGGGGGCGGCAGUAGGGAAUCUCCCACAAUGGACGAAAGUCUGAUGGAGCAACGCCGCGUGAGUGAAGAAGGGUUUCGGCUCGUAAAGCUCUGUUGGUAGUGAAGAAAGUUAGAGGUAGUAACUGGCCUUUAUUUGACGGUAAUUACUUAGAGAGUCACGGCUAACUACGUGCCGGCAGCCGCGGUAAUACGUAGGUGGCAAGCGUUGUCCGGAUUUAUUGGGCGUAAAGCGAGUGCAGGCGGGUCAAUAAGUCUUAUGUGAAAGCCU
rnacentral:rRNA from 1 species